rnacentral:rRNA from 1 species
GCGAACGCUGGCGGCAGGCUUAACACAUGCAAGUCGAGCGGGCGUAGCAAUACGUCAGCGGCAGACGGGAGAGUAACACGUGGGAACGCGCCCUUCGGUUCGGAAUAACUCAGGGAAACUUGAGCUAAUACCGGAUACGCCCUAACGGGGAAAGAUUUAUCGCCGAAGGAACGGCCCGCGUCGGAUUAGCUAGUUGGUGAGGUAAUGGCUCACCAAGGCGACGAUCCGUAGCUGGUCUGAGAGGAUGACCAGCCUCACUGGGACUGAGACACGGCCCAGACUCCUACGGGAGGCAGCAGUGGGGAAUAUUGGACAAUGGGCGCAAGCCUGAUCCAGCCAUGCCGCGUGGAUGAUGAAGGCCUUAGGGUUGUAAAGUCCUUUUAACGGGGAAGAUAAUGACGGUACCCGUAGAAUAAGCCCCGGCUAACUUCGU